rnacentral:piRNA from 1 species
UCUCUGCAGGUCUCUGAAACUCUAAGCAGA